rnacentral:tRNA from 1 species
GGAGGGGUGGCAGAGUGGUUUAAUGCACCGGUCUUGAAAACCGACGAGGGUGAAAGUCCUCCGAGAGUUCGAAUCUCUCCCCCUCCGCCA